rnacentral:rRNA from 1 species
GACGAACGCUGGCGGCGUGCUUAACACAUGCAAGUCGAACGGAAAGGCCUGCUUUCCCUUGUGGAUUGCGGGUACUCGAGCGGCGAACGGGUGAGUAACACGUGAGUGAUCUGCUCCCAACUUGUGUAUAAGCCUGGGAAACUGUGUCUAAUUCCCGAUAGGACUGCAGGGUGGUGCCUGUGGUGGAAAACGAUUUUCUAGUGGUUGGGGAUGAGCUCGCGGCCUAUCAGCUUGUUGGUGGGGUAAUGGCCUACCAAGGCGGCGACGGGUAGCCGGCCUGGGAGGGUGGACAGCCACAUUGGGACUGGGAUACGGCCCAGACUGGUGCGGGAGGCAGCAGUGGGGAAUAUAGGAGCAUGGGCGGAAGCCUGAUGCAGCGAGGCCGCGUGGGGGAUGACGGCCUUCGGGUUGUAAACUCCUUUCGACCGAGAGGAAGCCACCUGGUUGGAAGGGUGGUGACGGUAGUGGUAGAAGAAGCACCGGCUAACUACGUG